GGUCUGAUUGUCUCAUUGCUUGUGGGCAUGCAGGGACAGAAUUAUAAGACAACCCAUAUCGGGGCAAAACGAAAUAACCCGUGAGCAAGUGCCUAUAAAAAUGGAGCAGACAGGAAGGUUAGAGCACGCAGCCGCGCGGUGAGCACAAAGCGAACUAUUCUUUCGCCUUUUACUAAAGAAUACCGUGUGCGCGCCGCAAUCAGCGGCAUACGCUUAUUUUUGGAGGGUUCUUUCCCUUGUGGGAAGUACCCUAACUGGACAGUUUAAAGUUCUGCUUCUCUUAAAUUAAUUUAAUUAUAGUGGAAGCGUGGUAACAUGUAUUUGUCUUCGACUCUAGAUGAAUUUCCAAAUUGUGUAGUUGUAUCGUGCUGUGAACACUCCCUUCAAAUCCUUUGCUUAUUCACUAGACCUCAGCUUCUUCAGUGCUGGAAGGCAUAAAACUCAACUCGAGACUUAUUAAGUGAUCUAUCUAUGUUGAUUCCAUCAUGAUAACAAGUUGUUGCUUUUAGAUUCCGUCUUUUUUACAAAUAGAGUAGAAAGCCUUGAAAUCUCACUUGACAAAAAAGGAGAGCAGUGAUCUACAAGUAUUUUUUCAGUCCUUGAACCUUAGCUCUGCAACUGCAUAUCAGUAUCUGACGUAAUAAGCAACAUGUGGUAUGCCAUUACUUUGUGUCUGAACAAGUUCUAUGUCAUUGUAAUCUGCUGUCAGACAUUGCUUGGUACUGUCAAAUACGUAUAGGGACAGAUUAUAAGACAACCCAUAUCGGAGCAAAACGAAAUAACCCGUGAGCAAGUGCCUAUAAAGAUGGAGCAGACAGGAAGGUUAGAGCACGCAGCCGCGCGGUGAGCACAAAGCGAACUAUUCUUUCGCCUUUUACUAAAGAAUACCGUGUGCGCGCCGCAAUCAGCGGCAUACGCUUAUUUUUGGAGGGUUCUUUUCCUUGUGGGAAGUACCCUAGCUGAACAGUUUAAAGUGUUACUUCCCUUAAAUAAAUUAUCGUAGAAAUAUUGUCUCGUUAAUUGCCCUAAAUUCUUGUGUUUUUAUCCAAGUUGGGAGGGUGUUCAAAAUUUUUGGGUCCUUAACUCCUCGUCCUAUCGACACUGGCCUAUGCGGAGUCGCCGGACCUCAGCUUUUAAAGUGCUGAAGGGGAUAAAACUCAACUCAAGACUCAAUAGUAAGUGAUCAAGCUAUGCUGAUUCCAUCCCCCAUGAUAACAAGUUCUUGCUUUUAGGGGAUAAAACUCAACUCAAGACUCAAUACUAUCAGAGGAGAAGCCUUGAAAUCUCACUUAAUAAAAAAGGAGAGCAGUGAUGUACAAGUAUUUUUUCAGUCCUUAAUCCUUAGCUAUGCUACUGCAUCAGUAUCUGACGUAAUAAGCAACAUGUGGUAUGCCAUUAUUUUGUGUCUGAACAAGUUUUAUGGCAUUGUAUGAUUCUUUCCAUUGAGUGAUUCUCCCUUCACUUUCUUGUUUAGAAAUCUAGCACUCAGCAAGACAGACUGAGCUUAGGCACGUCUCGAAGGAGAACAGAAGAAGGGAUGCUUUUCAUUCUUUAUUUUAUUAUAGCCCUGUCCAAAAGGCUUACUAGAAAUUGAAUAAAGAAAGAGGACGGUAGCUAGGAAUUAGUGCAUUGAUACCGAGAAGAAAUUCACUCAGCUGUGAAUUCUGCCUUCCAUGAAAAGCCUAAAUGCUUCUUCUCCCCGCUCUUUCUGCUAAUAGGCUUGAAGUAAGUAAAUAAACGAGCAAGACCAAUCCAGCCUUAUCGCAGUCCAUAUCCUCCAUAUCAUUACACGCUUCCUUAUCCACCAGGGUUCCAAAUCCCACCAUUUCUAUGUUUGUGGGGCCCUAAAAGACACUUAUCUCAUUUCAUUACCGCUUGUCGGGACACCGCCACAAAUGGGUCUUUGCUAUUGAGACAAUUUCCCCUUUCCCUCGACGGUCCUGCCUACGAGUGGUAUGACAUCUCAGGCCCGGGUCCAUGCUGGAAACAAAUGCAAAGGGCUUAGGCAAACACUCGGGUCAUUUCUGAUAGUUUAUUGUUCUUCUUUUCUUUUUUUUCCUUUUGUUCCAAGUCAGAUUAUCAUCAAUUGUCACGAGAUUGCGAGAACGAUGCAUUGAUCAAGGUCUCGAUACAAAGCAUCGGAGGAAGCUGCCCAAAUUCUCUCACCAAAUCAACCUUUGAAGUUCAUUUUUGGGAACAGAUACUAGGGAUGGAAAUGCUAUACAACCUUCACUAAUUCUGGAUUUUGAUUCUCUACCAUACAAUCAAUCAGUUUUGUAGGCAUCAACAUAUCUCUACUCGGUAUUAAAUAUAACUCAUUGGACUAGAGAAAAUACGUGUGCAGGUGCAUUGGGAAUGCAGUGAAGCGUUGUACGCUCAACUUUACAAUCCCAAACAGAGAAAAAGACAACGUUUAAGCAAGGAAUGUGUCUAUAAAUAAGAAGCUCGAAGCAACAUGCUCCAUACUUACCUGGACGGGGUCGAUGGGCGAUCAAGAAGGUCCAUGGCCUAGGUCAGUGACGUCCAUUGCACUGAGGAUGGGUGCUGGCUUAAGGUCUCCCCAAGUGGGAGAUCCUACGUCAAAAUUUGUGGCAGAGGGGGCUGCGCAAGUCGCGGCCCCUGU